GCGUGGAUGAUGUGGUUUAAUUCGAUGCAACGCGAAAACCUUAACCCACCUUUGACAUGUACGGAAUCCUUUAGAGAUAGAGGAGUGCUCGAAAGAGAGCCGUAACACAGGUGCUGCAUGGCUGUCGUCAGCUCGUGUCGUGAGAUGUUGGGUUAAGUCCCGCAACGAGCGCAACCCUUGUCAUUAGUUGCUACAUUCAGUUGGGCACUCUAAUGAGACUGCCGGUGACAAGCCGGAGGAAGGUGGGGAUGACGUCAAGUCCUCAUGGCCCUUAUAGGUGGGGCUUCACACGUCAUACAAUGGUCGGUACAGAGGGUUGCCAAGCCGCGAGGUGGAGCCAAUCCCAGAAAGCCGAUCGUAGUCCGGAUUGUUCUCUGCAACUCGAGAGCAUGAAGUCGGAAUCGCUAGUAAUCGCGGAUCAGCAUGUCGCGGUGAAUACGUUCCCGGGUCUU
rnacentral:rRNA from 1 species